AAAUUGUCUUUGUUUGACAUGGACAUGAGGAAAUCAAGAAUUAUGCCAUGGACUCGACAGCUUUCCACCUCACCGAACUUAUUUAUCUCCCCUGGUUGGAUCAGGUUCCGGCUGAUGAGCUCGUUAAAACACCUCUCUGCUGAUUCAUAUAGGGUGUGCCCAUGCUCUUCAGGAAUGAACCCCUCGGCAAUCCAUCUCAUUACCAAACGUUCCUUCUUGAUAGCAUAACCUUCUGGGAAUACACUGAGGUAA
rnacentral:rRNA from 1 species